UAGCAUAUGCUUGUCUCAAGGAUUAAGCCAUGCAUGUCUAAGUAUAAGCACUUUAUACAGCGAUUCUGCGGAUGGCUCAUUACAUCAGUUAUGACUGGUUUCAAGGUUUGCUACAUGGAUAUCUGUGGCAAUUCUGCAGCUAAUACACGUUCAAGGGCAUGGUGUAAAUCAUGCUCGAGUGUACUGGUUGCCGGGAUGAUUUAUCACUCGGUGAGCGGAGUACAUGUCAGAUCACAUUGAUUGUGACACUUGAUUCGAGUUUCUGCCCUAUCAG
rnacentral:rRNA from 1 species